UACGUAGGGGGCUAGCGUUGUCCGGAAUCAUUGGGCGUAAAGAGCGUGUAGGCGGCCCGGUAAGUCCGCUGUGAAAGUCGGGGGCUCAACCCUCGAAUGCCGGUGGAUACUGUCGGGCUAGAGUGCAGAAGGGGCAACCGGAAUUCUUGGUGUAGCGGUGAAAUGCGUAGAUAUCAAGAGGAACACCUGAGGUGAAGACGGGUUGCUGGGCUGACACGUGACGCUGAGGCGCGAAAGCUAGGGUAGCAAACGGG
rnacentral:rRNA from 1 species